GCCCCAGUAGCUUAACUCCAAAGCACCGGCCUUGUAAACCGGAGAAUGAAGAUUCAAAUUCUUCCUGGCGCA
rnacentral:tRNA from 1 species